GAUAAACGCUAGCGGCAGGCUUAACACAUGCAAGUCGAGGGGCAGCAUAGAUUGUAGCAAUACAAUUGGUGGCGACCGGCGCACGGGUGCGUAACGCGUAUGCAACCUACCCGUCACAGGGGGAUAAUCCGGAGAAAUCUGGUCUAAUACCCCAUAACAUAUGGAUCGGCAUCGGUUCAUGUUGAAAUUUUCGGAGGUGACGGAUGGGCAUGCGUAGCAUUAGCUUGUUGGUGAGGUAACGGCUCACCAAGGCGACGAUGCUUAGGGGGACUGAGAGGUUUUCCCCCCACACUGGUACUGAGACACGGACCAGACUCCUACGGGAGGCAGCAGUGAGGAAUAUUGGUCAAUGGGCGCAAGCCUGAACCAGCCAUGCCGCGUGCAGGAUGCCGGCUCUAUGAGUUGUAAACUGCUUUUGUACGGGGGUAAAGUGGGUUACGUGUAACCUUUUGAAAGUAUCGUACGAAUAAGGAUCGGCUAACCCCGUGCCAGCAGCCGCCGUAA
rnacentral:rRNA from 1 species